GAUGAAGAACGCAGCGAAAUGCGAUAAGUAGUGUGAAUUGCAGAAUUCAGUGAAUCAUCGAAUCUUUGAACGCACAUUGCGCCCCUUGGUAUUCCAUGGGGCAUGCCUGUUCGAGCGUCAUUUGUACCUUCAAGCUCUGCUUGGUGUUGGGUGUUUGUCUCGCCUCUGCGUGUAGACUCGCCUUAAAACAAUUGGCAGCCGGCGUAUUGAUUUCGGAGCGCAGUACAUCUCGCGCUUUGCACUCAUAACGACGACGUCCAAAAGUACAUUUUUACACUCUUGACCUCGGAUCAGGUAGGGAUACCGCUGAACUUAAGCAUAUCAAUAAGCGGAGGA
rnacentral:misc_RNA from 1 species